rnacentral:rRNA from 1 species
UAAGUCUACCCUACCCUGAACGCUGCUGUGUUAUCUGAACUCAAAAGCUAAGCAGGUCAGGUGGUAGUACUUGGAUGGGAGACUACAGGAUGCUGUAGGCUUGG